rnacentral:rRNA from 1 species
UACGUAGGGGGCAAGCGUUGUCCGGAUUUAUUGGGCGUAAAGAGCGUGUAGGCGGCCAGAUAGGUCUGCUGUGAAAACUCGAGGCUUAACCUCGAGAUGUCGGCGGAAACCAUCUGGCUAGAGUCCGGAAGAGGAGAGUGGAAUUCCGUGGUGUAGCGGUGAAAUGCGCAGAUAUCAGGAAGAACACCCGUGGCGAAGGCGGCUC